rnacentral:rRNA from 1 species
UACGGGGGGGUAAGCGUUGUUCGGAAUUACUGGGCGUAAAGCGCGCGUAGGCGGCUUUGUAAGUUAGAGGUGAAAGCCCGGGGCUCAACCCCGGAACAGCCUUUAAGACUGCAUCGCUAGAAUCCGGGAGAGGUGAGUGGAAUUCCGAGUGUAGAGGUGAAAUUCGUAGAUAUUCGGAAGAACACCAGUGGCGAAGGCGGCUCACUGGACCGGCAUUGACGCUGAGGUGCGAAAGCGUGGGGAGCAAACAGG